UUAGAUGAUGAUGAGGGGUAUAAGGAGAGGAUAAGGAACACAUUUCACAGAUGACCAGAUCAAAGAGUGACAGCUUGGUGGAUCCCUUUGUCUCACUUUGUUUUUCAUCUCUCUCUACCUGGCUCCUCUCCUUUUUGGACAACCAAUAAAAGUCCACUAAUCUAAUUAGGGUUUGCUUAAAGAGACAAAGUGGAGCCUCAUCUGGACUGAGUUCGAGAAAAAAACUGCUUUUUUCUGAACUGUGGUUUGGAAAAUCUCCAGUUUUGAGGGAGGAGCAGGGAUUUUGCUUAUCAUCACUGCUUCACGUCUCACCUCUUUGCUGCUUUCAGGUUUGCUCCUAUAUGGACAAGAGCUUAUCUCCGGCAUCCAAAAAGUGCUGCACUCAAGGGAAUCGCAUACGUGCAUAAGACAGACGCUCAGGUUGACUCUAGGGACACGCAACAAGUGAAAGAUAAGAAGCAACUGUAGAUUAAAGCAGGGAUUAAAAUGAAAUGAAUUAUUAAUACCUGUAGAUUAAUUGCUGGUUUCAAUCUAAUAUUUAAACCCCAGAGUAGAUCCAUACUGAGCAGCCACAUGCAGCUGAUUAAUAAUGGAGAUGGAGCCGGCAGCCCACAUGUAAACAAUGUGUUUGACAUCCACUCACUCUGACAAAAACAUUACACUGUGAUAUAUCCAAAACAUGCCAAGUCAUCAUGAUGUUAGCUAUUAUAUUACAAUUGAACUCAAAGUCUAAAAUGACAGUAAAUAUGCAUUAAGAUGGGAAAGCAGAUAAUGUCACACACAUCGUCAUGCUGACACUGUAGUUUUGAACCAGCAGUUGGGUUUUGUUUGGCUUGCGGCAUGAUGGUGAGUGUGAUUUUACUACAACAAGGGUGUGGCUGCUCUCAACUUUACCACACAAGGCACGCACACACACACUGUCUUUCAGCAUUAAAGAGCCAGUGUAGUCAUAAAUCUGCGAAUCCUCACUCCUGUUCCUCUUUGUCUAUGUGUAGCAGCUGGCAAUAAGGAGUGAAAUUCACAGUAAGAUGGAGGUCAUUAUUUAAACUUAUUUCUCUGUUAUUUAAAUAUUAUGAUCUAAACUUUUAGAAAUGAGUUUUUGUUGCCACGCAGAAAAGCUUGAAUCCAUCCUGCCUUGUAUUAUAGUUCAGGCUGAAGGUGGUGGUGUAGUAAUGUAAUAAUGUGGGGGACAUUUUCUUGGUACACUUAGUAACAGCUGAGCAUCAAUUAAGAACACCACAGACUACCUGAGUAUUGGCACUGACCAUGUCCACCGCUUUAUGAUCACAGUGCUUCCAGCAGGAUAAUGCUUUCUUGAAGGGUUUUUUUUAAAGAAUUGUGUCAUGGAUGCGCAAUGGAGAAAUUUGUGAUGCCAUCAUGUCAAUAUGGAUCAAAAUCUCUGAGGAAUGUGUCCAGCAACAUGUUGAAUCUAUGCCAUGAAGAAUGAAGUCAGUUAUGAAGGCAAGGUGUUAAUAGAGUGACCAGUAAGUGAAUUUUCCUGUGUGUACUCAGGCAUCACAACCUUUUGCAACUUAAAACUGCACACAAAAGACAAACAGGUCAAACAGAUAUACACUGUCAUGAUAGUAGAACUGCUUUUACUACUAGCAGUGUUAACCAAACCGGUCAGGCAAGCCAACAGGAGCCAAGUUUUUUUCUCCCUUAAAACUGUUGGGCGGAGACAUGUGCAUGGGUGACGGCACGUUGCCCUUGCUGCUCUGCAGGCAUUUCCAAACAGAUAGAGGUACUUUUCCAUCUGUAAAGCACCACAGGAAUCAGUGCCAGUAUUUUUCCUCAUGUUUUUAGUACACAGCAUAUAUAAUAGAGAAUGUAAAGGUAUGACACAGAGGCGGAAAUAAAAUACUAGUUUUAGUUUCGAAGAGUUUGAAGUGGGCUCUCCAGGAAUUGUGUGUGCAGUACAUGUGUUGGUAAACAGGUGCACUUGUCUACCUUUGCACUCAGGUCUGUGCUUAUAAUUGUUAGAACACUGUGACCUUGUAGGUGCAGCUCAGUAUGUACUCUUGUGUGCGUGCAGACCGGGAUAAAACAUUUACAGUCACGGCCAUAAAUCAUGUCAUGCAGGUGGCGAUUAAAUUUGCAUUACAGGCCAUAAAACUCCGGGUGUGUGCUGAGUAUUAUCAGCAGGGACUUGAGUGUUUAUAUAUGUAAUAAAAUUAUUAUUAUUGUUCCAUGAUAAAUCUGCAGUGAUAAUUCCACCCUGAUCCCAGCAGAUAACAACUGAGGAAUAUGCACAGAUUACUUCACCUUUGUUUUGUUUUUUUUACCUUGGUGUUAAUAAGCAUGACUUCCCUCUUGAUGAGCAUUUAAAUGCAGAUUCACUUCCUUUUAUUGUGGCUUACAGUAACUGGUUCCGUAUGUUUUAUUACAGUUUGUCGCGGUUAAGGUGCUCAAGGUAUUCACAAACACUGUGCACUACAUAUGUAACCCACCAAAACGUAUAACUCAUUCACUCGGUUGUUAAUUUCAUGUCAAAAACUAUCUCAGUCUAACUUCAGUUUUUAAAUAUUGCUACUGUAGCUAAUUUGGUCAAAUCCUAACUCACCUUCCUCUUCUUACAGUAUUUAUUUAUUUAUUUUUUAUUUCUCAAACCCUUCCUGACCUCUGCCCCUGAACCACUCAAGCCUCAACUGACCUUUAGUCAGUAUUCUUCUGGAAACCACCCUGACCCACAAACCACUCUGGAUCACUUGCCUCUGGCUCCUCACUUCCCCUCUCAGCUCAACCUGGUAUAUAUAUCUAUCCCUCUACACUGCAUGGAUUAAGGGCAGCAUAACAUUAGUCUUUAUUAAUAAACUGUUUGAACGACUGCAGUCCUGUCCUGGUCUGUGUUCUGCAGCUGGGUUUAGGAGUAAAGGCCACUGGAUUUAAAGUAUACAGACUUAAAAGGUUCUUAAGGUUGAUGUGUACACAACAAAAAAAGCCAACCCUGAAUUUUAAUUACAUCAGAAAUCAUUAUUAAAUUAUUGAAUGAAUUAAUUAGAUUCACAUACAUAAAUUAGCACAACUCUUAAAUAACUUCUGAUUAAUAACUUAUGCCUCUUUUCCACCAGUACCAACUUGGUUCAACUCGACUCUACUCAGUUUUGAGCGUCUUCCAUUACUGUCGAGUACCACCGCUAUGUGCUUGGGGUCGUUACAGCAAUGUGGCCGAAAGUCCCGUGACAUCAUUUGUAUGUGACACAACGCAACAAUGGAGGAAAUGGAGGUGAUGGUAUACCUGCUGCAUAACCAAUGCUGAGCUGAAUGAAAGAGUGGCACAGACAGGAAGGGCAGCAAAGAGGGAGGGACCUGACGCAGCCCGAGGCUACAGUCUGCAGACAGUAUGUGGACUUUUAAAUGGAGUGGGCUGAUAUGGCAUUUAAACAUGUCUGUCGCAGCAAACUCCAUUUCCUCAUGUGGGCAGGUUGUCGUCUGGAAGGAAAUCAAACUCAUUUCUGAAGGGCAAACAUGGUAUGUACUGUGACAAGGAUCCCUGCAUUGGUUUGCUUAUGAAGAAAUAUAUGUGCUAAAGCAGAUGGGCUUGAAAAAGAGAUAAAUAAAGAUAAAUACAUUUUUACCUUUUCUUUUAACAACUACUGCAGAACUGCCUUCUCCAAUUAUACUUCUGUCUAAAAUACCAGAGAGCCCAAACUAUUACUAAUGGACUUUGUCAGAAAGUCACAAGCAAUGAAGGCGAGAACAAGGCACCCUCCACUAAUCGCAUAUUCUUGAGCACUGUAUACAACAUAAUCAUGUUUUUCAGUUGUUAUUUGUCCAGUACCCUCAGACAAGUAUCAUAAAUCAGAUGGCACGGAGCACUCGGUCUUAAAGUCACAUGAUUGCCGUUCAAAAGCAGAGAGUGCAGUAAUUGUCCAGAUGUUUCAUAGUUCUGACCCUCUUUUAACAUGAUACAGCUGUAUACAGCUUUGCUGAUUGACUGACUAAUUCACCCAACAAAAACCUCCUGGCAAUAUGUUUGCAAUCAAAAUGUAUAAUCUUUUCAAUAUGGCGAGGAACGGUUCUCGGAUAAGUGAUGUUUUAAGCGAUUUCCCAUAAGUUUGCGUUUGGCCUAAAGACGAAAAAGAUCGGCCGUUAAGUGUUUACUUGAUGGUUUAUGGCCAGUUUCCUGCAAAUGACAUUCCACUCAGGCUCAGUGGUAACUUUAUGUUAAUGUUAAUUAGUAAAUGCUAAGCCAUGCUGAUUUGAAUUACAGUAAUGAAGGGUGGACUGCAUCAAUUAGAUUGUCACCACAGAUUUUUUAAAUAAAUGUCAUAUGAUGUAUUUUCUGAACAGCCUGUGUUUGAAGCAGGGUGUAGAUCAAUAUUUAGAUAAAUAUUAUAUUUCAAAUCUGUGAGAAAAUGAGCAUGCAAAGCAUAUGCAUGUGCUUUUUUACUGCAGCACCAUGUGUAACACUUGUACUUUAUCCUGUCACCCUGCAGUUUCCUGCUUCCCAAUGCCCAAAGUUUCACACGCUAAGUUCCCACCAUCCAGUCGUGUCUUUCCCACUACCCCUUUUCCUUCCCGCCAUCCAAAUACCCUGUAUCCAUUUACUGCCCCUUUACACACCUAAAUCCCUCUACUCCCCUCUCACCCCUUCAGCCCACUUCUUUUUUCUUUCUCUCCGUGAAAGAGCACACUUCUUUUUUAACCUGUUUUCCCAUCUUUGUUCCUCUCCUCCUGGCGCUCUUCUAUCCCACUUCUCCUCUCCCUGACACUGUAUCUCCCUUCUGCCCUCCUGUUCAACCAUGAAAUCCGUGUCCAGCUGAGUUGUUCUGGGAGCCAGUGUUACCAGAUGGCAUCAGGCAGAACCCAAACAUCUGUGUUACCCAACUCGGCCCGAACCAGACUCCGAAGGAUACGCAGCUGUAUAAACAGCGUGUGUGUAAAAAUGCAAGCUAUGCGGCCAAGCAAAGGGGUCCUCACCAGGUCGCUAUGAAAAGAAAUAUUAUUAAUAAUGAUAAUAAUGACAGAGGAAAUACCUAAGGUCGAGACGUGACUUUGUGUUUGUGUGACAGUGGGGCAUGGGAAAGAUACAACACAAAACCCCGGGGCCAAGAUUAGAUAGUUUGCGAGGUUUAGUAGAUUAAAAACAUAUUGGACUGUAAUUACAGACAUCGCCACAAACAAUACUUAAAAUACAUGAUAUAUUCUCAUGUCUGCAACUCUGUAUGUAAGGUUAGUUUAGGUUAGAAAAGCAGUAAAACCACAAAUUUUCAUAGUUAAUGUUAAAGUAUUGUUUUUCCUAAGCACAGAGGUUUCUUGCAUGACAUCGUGCAUACAUUGCUGAACAGUUGUCUGCCUUCUUAGACGUGAUGCAAACACUAGUCGCGGGAGAAAGAUGUAUAUUCCCAGUAUGGUCGGACAGUUGUUUCUGGUUAGCUGCUGGAAGUUGUUAGAUUAAAUGAGCAACUUCCACCGAAAACCUCCUUCUGAUGUCCGGUAGAUUGCCAUGGCCACAUUUAGUUUGCACAGAAGACCCCAACUUGCUCCCAACUUGCCUGCAAACACAGACCUUCAAACUAAAAUUAAAAACCAAAAUCAAUUGCAAGAAGGUUUUCACAAACCUUUGGGAAACAAACAUUUUUUACUAGUGGGUAAACAACCAAUUGAUUUCACAGCGACUGACACAACCUACAGCAACCAUUCAUGGAAAUAUAUAUUUCUCCCUUGACAACUGGUGAUUGCAAGAUGGUUAGUCCGAAAGGGUGGACAAGUUAACAUCACAUGGUGGGUCGUCACGGCAAAAUCGCAAUAUAGCUAGUAUCUUUUAGAGAGUGCCUUGGUAGCUGAUUGCUAUUGUUUCCAGUCAUUAUGCUGAGUUAAUUUGCUACUCAAUCUGGCUACAGUAUGCAUGAUUCUGUGUAUUAGCUUAACUCAGGAAAGACGUGGGGUUAAAGCUACCAGUUAUCACUUUUGUAAUCAGUAUUUUUUUAAUUAUUACAUAAAAAGAUAGACUAUCUUGUAGACAGAGCCUAGCGUUUUUAAAGUGCAUUCUGUUUUUAUGCUAAGCUAAGUUAGCAGGCUGUUUGCUGAAGCUAUCCAUCCAAGUAUAAAAUAUGAUAACUGGACUUCAUAUUUUGUCACUUUUGACAAUUUGUUUAAAAAAAAAUAUAUAUCAGUACCAUAGAAGUAGUGAUGACAAAAAAAUAUAUGUGUUAUUAUUUACAUAUGAAUCCUGUUUUUUUUAUUUUUUAAAAUGGUUCUGUCAGAGAUAAAGCCUAUCUAAGGUGUAUUUUAACUCUGUUAUCAACAUUCCUACAAUGUAUUGUGGACAGUGUGACAAAGUCAAAUUUUGUGUCAAAUGUCUUUUGCUCAAAAAAAAAAAAUGCAUAACGUAUGAAAAAACAGAACAAUGUCUGGCAUAAAAGCUACAAAAAAAAAACAAAAAACAGUGGUAUACACACACACACACACACACACACACACACAAAGUAACAAAAAAAAGUCCCUUCUGGUGAAAGUUGAAGCAUUCACAAAGACCAGGAUAUACUAGAACAAUGGGGCAGCACACAGUACAUGACUGAGUAAGCCAGGCUUGAUGAGUCUAGGCUAAACUAGGAUUACCUGCAUGUGGGCUGUAACACAAGUAACUUAUUCACGGCCUAAAAAAAUUCAACAAAAGCCUGAUCUGUCUCAUGUCGUACAGUUUGCUGAUACAUUCCAAAGAAACACAGAUUUGGGCAGUUCGUGUUUGUGUGUGCAUUUUGAGUGGAUUAUAAUAGUUUAUCUCACAGGGAGCCGUUGGCCUAUUCUUUUUUGCCUCAAACUCCAAAACAACACUCAGGCCCACUUGAGAGUACUCUGGGCUUGGAUGAGCUUUGCCUCUGGCACAGAGUCAUCUGCACAAGAAUCUGGCUGCUCUCCAAGCACAAUAUUUGUCAGAGUAGCCUUGUUUGAAACCUUUACUGUUUUAUUACAUUCUACAGCCUGGAGAUGAGGUUUUAGAUUCAACCUUAAGAUUCCAAUUAAAAGCCCUUUCAUGUUUUUUUAAUCACUCAAAAAUGUGUACAGUGUUUUUAAUCAGCCUGCACAGCUGCACAGAGUGGAAAAAAACAUGCAUUAAUUUUUCAUCUGCAUCAUAUGGUUUGAAUAAUUUUCUGUCAGUAUUUUUUGAGACGUUGACUUGAA